rnacentral:rRNA from 1 species
GAGCAGGUCCCAAGGGUAUGGCUGUUCGCCAUUUAAAGAGGUACGUGAGCUGGGUUUAGAACGUCGUGAGACAGUUCGGUCCCUAUCUGCCGUGGGUGUUGGAGACUUGAGAGGAGUUGCCCCUAGUACGAGAGGACCGGGGUGAACGAUCCACUGGUGGACCUGUUGUCGUGCCAACGGCAGUGCAGGGUAGCCAUGAUCGGACAGGAUAACCGCUGAAGGCAUCUAAGCGGGAAGCCCCCCUCAAAACAAGGUCUCCCUUGAGGGCCGUGGUAGACCACCACGUCGAUAGGCCGGAGAUGUAAGCGCAGCAAUGCGUUCAGUUGACCGGUACUAAUUGCCCGAUAGGCUUGAUUUGAUCCGG